CUCCGAAAUUCAUGUUUCUGACAAAUCUUCCAGCUGCUAUUGAGGCUGUGUGGCUGCCGUGCCCCGAGCUGUCUCUUGGAGAUAUGAACUUGACAGCGCUUGUACUUGAACCACCCUCUUCUGUUUGGAAUCCAUUUAGGUGAAAUUUGAUGGUGAAUUUGCUUCUCCUCUCUGGCAUUGCCCUCUCCAUCUUUUAGGAACUGGAGGCAUCCCAUGGUCACUGAAACUAGGGGACUCUGGCCAAAUUCCUGCAAUGAUACGAUACUUACAUGAGUAAACGUUUAGCAAAAACCUCAUGAUAUUAUGAUGUACAGUUUGCAGGCUGAGCAGACAGCUGGAAUAAUUGAUGGAAGAUGGUCCACUACAAAAGGUUUCUGGUGUCACAUGAUGCUUACAACGGGCAAAUUUUCACUAGAAAUUUUCACACUGGCCAAAAGAUUCAAUGCGGCAUGAAUUGAGUAUGUGUAGUUUCCCUCACCUGUGUCAAUAAAUCCAACAAUAACAUUCUCCUGGUUCUUGGUGUACAAUCCAGGGACCCCAGCCUCUGCAUUGGUGGACAAGCCCAUGAAAUCCCACGAAUGGGUGGUGUGGAGGUUCCUCUUUGUGUUUGGGAACACCGAGACAACACCGGGCAUCUCUGAGGAAAUGCACAGCAGAGUUAGCGUUUUGGCAUCACUGCCAUCACCACUGAACUCACAUGCGGAGUGCUACAUAUUUCAGAAGCCGUGUAUAGGGAAUUUACCGGCUAGUUUCAUGGCUUGCUCUUUGCUCAGUUUCGCAGCAAAUCCUUGGAAACCUCUGCUGUAGGUGUAGACAUGUGAUGCCUGUGCCUUCUCCAAGCUGUGGAGACGAAGCAUCCAAUCAAGCUAUAUAACAACACCGCACCGGUGGCUGGAUAGAUACCAACAACGAGGCAUGAAGAUGAAUUUAUCACAGACCUUCCAUCAUGAACAUCAGUCAGCAUCUGGUGGUG